CGUCGCUUUUAUUGGGCCUAAAACGUCCGUAGCCUGUUUGGUAAAUCUGUGGGUAAAUCAACCAGCUUAACUGGUUGAAUUCUGCAGAGACUGCCAGACUAGGGACCGGGAGAGGUGUGGGGUACUCUCGGGGUAGGGGUAAAAUCCUGUCAUCCUGGGAGGACCACCAGUUGCGAAGGCGCCACACUGGAACGGAUCCGACGGUCAGGGACGAAGCCUAGGGGCACGAACCGGAUUAGAUACCCGGGUAGUCCUAGGAGUAAACGCUGUGAACUUGGUGUCGGGGAUCCUACUUGGGUUCCCGGUGCCGGAGUGAAGAUGUUAAGUUCACUGCCUGGGGAGUACGGUCGCAAGGCUGAAACUUAAAGGAAUUGGCGGGGGAGCACUGCAACGGGAGGAGCGUGCGGUUUAAUUGGAUUCAACGCCGGAAAACUCACCAAGGCCGACUGUUAGAUGAAGACCAGCGUAAUGAGCUUGUCGGAUUUUCAGAGAGGUGGUGCAUGGCCGUCGUCAGUUCGUACUGCAAAGCGUUCUGUUAAGUCAGAUAACGAACGAGACCCGCAUCCCUAUUUGCCACCCUGUUCUCCGGAGCAGGCGCACCAUAGGGAGACCGCUGGUGUGAAACCAGAGGAAGGCGCGGGCAACGACAGGUCAGUAUGCCCCGAAUGUCUUGGGCUACACGCGCGCUACAAAGGACGGGACAAUGGGAAGCCAGGCCGAGAGGUCGAGCUAACCCGAAACCCGUUCAUAGUUCGGAUCGAGGGCUGUAACUCGCCCUCGUGAAGCUGGAUUCCGUAGUAAUCGUGUUUCAACAUAGCACGGUGAAUAUGCCCCUGCUCCUUGCACACACCGCCCGUCAAACCAUCUUAGUUGGGGGUGGGUGAGGCUGCGCUUUUUGGCGUAUUCGAGCCUGCCUUCGACAAGGAGGGUUAAGUCGU
rnacentral:rRNA from 1 species